AGGCAGGCAGGAGGUUCAGUAGGACCAAUAAAUCAAUAAACCACCGAUAAAUUAUUGAUAAACCACCAAUAAAUUAUUGAUAAACCACCAUUAAAUUAUAGAUAAACCACCAAUAAAUCAAUAAGCCACCAAUACAUUAUUGAUAAACCACCAAUAAAUUAUUGAUAAACCACCAAUAAAUCAAUAAACCACCAAUAAAUUAUUGAUGAACUACCGAUAAAUUAUUGAUAAACCACCAAUAAAUUAUUGAUAAUCCACCAAUAAAUCAAUAAGCCACCAAUAAAUAAAUUAUUGAUGAACCACCAAUAAAUCAAUAAACCACCAAUAGAUUAUUGAUGAACCAACAAUAAAUUAUUGAUAAACCACCAAUAAAUCAAUAAACCACCAAUAGAUUAUUGAUGAACCAACAAUAAAUUAUUGAUAAACCACCAAUAAAUCAAUAGCCCACCAAUAAAUCAAUAAACCACCAAUAAACUAUUGAUAAACCACCAAUAAAUCAAUUAACCACCAAUAAGUUAUUGAUAAACCGCCGUUAAAUCAAUAAACUACCAAUAAAUUAUUGAUAAACCACCAAUAAAUCAAUAAACCACUAGUGAGGUCUACACAUGGAAGGAAUCUCCACUAAUGUUAUUGAUUUUAGUGAUUGAUUAUUCUGACGCUUAACUGAUUAAUCAAAUAAAACCAAUUGAUACAUUCUACAGAUUCUUCAUUGAUCCACUCCAUCCUGAACGACAUUUAAAGGGACGGAACCGUUUCCAAGUGGCUCCAGACGGGGAGGAAGGCCAGGUAAAGCGCCGUGUCGCCAACGGUGGGGUAAGACUUAAAGAUGGAGAUCACCGCCAGCUGCAUGAACAUCAGGAACACCGGCUGGUCCCUGCAGGCCGACGCACACAGAGAGGGACGGUGUAGAAGAAGACGUUGAUCUGGAAGACGCAGAGGAAGAAGAGGCGGAAAUGCUCAAACAUCUCGGCGAAGAAAUACCAGAAGAGGCCGAUGUUGGGCGUCAGGUCAGGAACCGAGAGGCUGGAAAAAAAAAAACAGAAACAUGGAGCUGGACCAGAGGACAUGUACCACAGCGCCCUCUGGUGGAGACACGGAGAACUGUGUUUCUAUCCACAGCAAUCUGGAAGGGCUGAGAUGAACUUCAUGCCAAACUCAGCCAUCAGAGGGCGCUGCACUGUAACUCUGCUCUUAUUUAAAUAAAAAAACUCCACCUAAAGUCAAGAUACAAUUAAACAAAACAUUUUAAUUUGUUUGCAUAUUAUCCUCGGAGCCAGAAAACCUUCAUGGUGACGUUAAAUUUAUCUUCUCCUGAGAAAACGUGUUCUCUGUUAUGGAGCCUGUGUACAGAAGCUUUUGACAAUUCUUCUAGAAGAACAUCUGUGAGGUCAGACUCUGAUGCUGGAUGAGACGGCUUGGCUACAGAACCUGCUCUGAUUCAUCCCAGACGUGUCGAGGUCGGGAUCUGUGGUUCUACUGGAACAUCGACAUCAGAGCUGGGAGCAACAAAUGCCUUGUUCAAGUAUUAAGAGCUCCCACCACAGGAAGGAGAUCAAGCUAAAAAAAAAAAAA